GGAGAGGUCGCAUAGCGGUCUAGUGCGUUCGCUCGGAAAGCGAAUAUAAUCGCAAGAUUAUCGCGGGUUCGAAUCCCGCUCUCUCCGCCA
rnacentral:tRNA from 1 species